rnacentral:tRNA from 1 species
GAAAAUAAUAUAUAAUAUUAGUAUGCAAGUUUUGGAGAUUUGUUGAGAUAUAAUCUUUUCU